rnacentral:misc_RNA from 1 species
AAAGGCAGACGUCGCAUGGGAGGGCGAGCCCGACUGGUAUGUCUCCUCGCCGAUUGCUCGCCGGCCAUUCUGCGCUUCCUGCGGCACCAGCCUCGGCUUCGAGUUCCCGGACAGCGAGAAUAUGGACCUCUCUGUCGCGGCUUUCGACGACCCCUCUCGUUUCCGCCCGAAGCAUCACUUCGGAGCGGAGAGCAUGCAUAGGCCCUGGCUCAACACCGAUGGCCUGCCGGAGUAUCGCGUCGACGAAUAUAAGCCCGUCGUCGACCGCUGGAUGAGCGCAGUUGGCAAGCUCCCUGACUGAGCACCGCUUUCGCACCUGGGAUGGCGCCGAGCUCACGUGGCACGAGCUGGGGGAGGGGCCUGCGGUGCUCUCGCUCCACGGGCUUUUCUCGAGCGCGC